UGGGGGAAUAUUGGGCAAUGGGCGAAAGCCUGACCCAGCGACGCCGCGUGAGGGAAGAAGGUCUUCGGAUUGUAAACCUUAAACAACAGGGACGAAGAAGUGACGGUACCUGUAAGGAAGCCACGGCUAACUACGUGCCAGCAGCCGCGGUAAUACGUAGGUGGCAAGCGUUAUCCGGAUUUACUGGGUGUAAGGGGUGUGUAGGCGGAGAGGCAAGUCAGGCGUGAAAAUUACGGGCUUAACCCGUAACUUGCGCUUGAAACUGUUUCCCUUGAGUGUCGGAGAGGUAAAU
rnacentral:rRNA from 1 species